CAGAUUACCAACAGAUUUGUCAGUCAACAAACACAACCAAAUACCAAAUCACGGCGCUGACGAUGGUCCUGUCAAUAAAGCCUCUCAAACAGACCCUGAUCCACAAAUAGACUUUUUGUCCUGCUUUUUUGCAUAUGUUCAGGAAAGGACGGGAACUUCUGUAGGCGAUUUAAAUCCAAAGAUAAAAGAUGAAUUGUUCUGCGACUUCAUUCAACAGCAAGAUCUUUCAGAGUCAUAUACAGAUACAGAAAAACAAAAAGAAAGAGCUUGCAAAAUGAAUGAGUUCUGAUGUAGUUAAAGAAAGGAGAUAAUGAUGUAACACAUUAAAGGAAUAGAAAGCUGAGUAUUUUAUAAAGUCAUUAAAUGAAUUAUUAAAAGUGUCAGUUUAUACUGAUUUAGUCAUCAUUGAA